rnacentral:misc_RNA from 1 species
CCGAGUUUACAACUCCCAAACCCAAUGUGAACAUACCUACUCGUUGCUUCGGCGGGAAUUGCCCCGGGCCUCGUUGCCCGGAAUCAGGCGCCCGCCGGAGGUACGUAAACUCUUGUUUUAUUGUAUAUCUUCUGAGUAGUUUAACGCAAAUAAAUAA